AAAGCAUUCUGAGGUUCAUACCACAGCUAUACACCACCCCACUGAGAGUAAAGACCUUUUUCUCUACUUAGGGGUCACACAGAGCCCCUCCUCCACAAAGCUGUCACACAGAUCACAUAUAUGUCACAUAGAGUCCCUCCUCCACUCAGGUGUCACACAAGCCCCUCCUCCACUCAGGUGUCACAUAGAACCCGUGCUCCACUCAGGUAUUACAUAGAACCUGUCCUCCACUCAGGUGUCAUAUAGAGUCCCUCCUCCACUCAGGUGUCACACAGAUCACAUAGAUGUCACAUAGAGCCCCUCACCCACUUAGGUAUCAUGUAGAACCCAGCCUCCACUCAGGUGUCACGUAGAACCUGUCCUCCACUUAGGUGUCAUAUAUAACCCCUCCUCCACAUAAGUGUCACACAAGCCCCUCCUCCACUCAGGUGUCACACAAGCCCCUCCUCCACUCAGGUGAACCAUAGAACCUUCCUCCACUCAGGUAUCACUAAGAACCCCUCCUCUGAUCAGAGUCACAGAGACCGCGCUCCACUUGGAUGUCAUAUAGAGUCCCUCCUCCACGCAAGUAUCCCCUUCUUCCUUCAGGUGUCACAUUUAGACCCUCCUCCACUCAAGUGUCAUACCGAUCCUCUCUUCCUUUCACACAGAGACCCUCCUCCACGCAGGUGUCACAGGGGCCCCUUCUUCUCAUCUUGUGUCCCAUAGCUCCCCUCUCCACUCAGGAGUCACACAGAGUCCCUCCUGAACUCAGGAGUCACCCUGAGCCUCUUCUCUGCUCAUGUGUCCCGUGGAGUCCUCCUUCUCUCGUGUGUUACCCUGAGUCCUGCUCACAUGUUGCAGUUGAGUCCAUUCUUCUCUCAGUUAUAAUGCAGAGCCCCUCCCUGACCUAUCGGUCACUUUCUGUCCCUGUUCCACCCGCAUGUUUCACGGAGCCUUCUCACUGUGGUCUCCCACUGGCCCUCUCCCAUCUUGAGCCACACACAGAGCUCCUCUGCCCCUGUGUGUGGUCGUGAGCCCACUCCCCAGCCAUAUGUCACUGGGGACUGUCUACUCAUGUGUCACACCUUCCCUCCCCCCGUGUACGCGUCACACUGAGCUCCGCCCGCACUUGGCUGUCCUCCAUGCACUUUCC
ensembl:lncRNA